CCUACGGGUGGCAGCAGUGAGGAAUAUUGGUCAAUGGGCGCGAGCCUGAACCAGCCAAGUAGCGUGCAGGAAGACGGUCCUAUGGAUUGUAAACCUCUUUUGUCGGGGAGCAACAGACCCCACGCGUAGCGUUCCGAGAGUACCCGAAGAAAAAGCAUCGGCUAACCCCGUGCCAGCAGCCGCGGUAAUACGGAGGGUGCGAGCGUUAUCCGGAUUUAUUGGGGUAAAAGGGUGCGCAGGCGGAAGACCAAGUUAGAGGUAAAAUGGAGAGGCUAAACCGCUGCGAGCAGCUGAAACUGGUUUUCUUGAGUGAGCGAGAAGCAUGCGGAAUGCGUGGUGUAGCGGUGAAAUGCAUAGAUAUCACGAAGAACUCCGAUUGCGAAGGCAGCAUACCGGCGCUCAACUGACGCUCAUGCACGAAAGUGCGGGUAUCGAACAGGAUUAGAUACCCGAGUAGUC
rnacentral:rRNA from 1 species